rnacentral:miRNA from 1 species
GACGGGAGCGGGGGUGG